rnacentral:rRNA from 1 species
AACGAACGCUGGCGGCAGGCCUAACACAUGCAAGUCGAGCGGAUGAAGGUAGCUUGCUGCCUGAUUCAGCGGCGGACGGGUGAGUAAUGCCUAGGAAUCUGCCUGGUAGUGGGGGACAACGUUUCGAAAGGAACGCUAAUACCGCAUACGUCCUACGGGAGAAAGUGGGGGAUCUUCGGACCUCACGCUAUCAGAUGAGCCUAGGUACGAUUAGCUAGUUGGUGAGGUAAAGGCUCACCAAGGCGACGAUCGUUAACUGGUCUGAGAGGAUGAUCAGUCACACUGGAACUGAGACACGGUCCAGACUCCUACGGGAGGCAGCAGUGGGGAAUAUUGGACAAUGGGCGAAAGCCUGAUCCAGCCAUGCCGCGUGUGUGAAGAAGGUCUUCGGAUUGUAAAGCACUUUAAGUUGGGAGGAAGGGCAGUAAGUUAAUACCUUGCUGUUUUGACGUUACCGACAGAAUAAGCACCGGCUAACUUCGUGACAGCAGCCGCAGUAAAAC